rnacentral:rRNA from 1 species
AAACUUAAAGAAUUGACGGGGACCCGCACAAGCAGUGGAGCAUGUGGUUUAAUUCGAUGCAACGCGAAGAACCUUACCCAGGCUUGACAUGCAGAUGACCGCUCUAGAAAUAGAGUUUUCCUUCGGGACAUUUGCACAGGUGCUGCAUGGCUGUCGUCAGCUCGUGCCGUGAGGUGUUGGGUUAAGUCCCGCAACGAGCGCAACCCUUAUCAUUAGUUGCCAACAGGUGAAGCUGGGAACUCUAAUGAGACUGCCUGGGUUAACCAGGAGGAAGGUGAGGAUGACGUCAAGUCCGCAUGGCCCUUAUGUCUGGGGCUACACACGUGCUACAAUGGUCGGUACAGAAGGCAGCGAAACCGCGAGGUGAAGCAAAUCCAACAAAGCCGAUCUCAGUUCAGAUUGUAGUCUGCAACUCGACUACAUGAAGACGGAAUUGCUAGUAAUGGCGAGUCCAGCCAACAUCGACCGUAGAAUACGUUCCCGGGUCGUU